AGUGAACGCUGGCGGUAGGCCCAACACAUGCAAGUCGAACGGCAGCACAGUAAGAGCUUGCUCUUACGGGUGGCGAGUGGCGGACGGGUGAGGAAUACAUCGGAAUCUACUUUUUCGGGGGGGAUAACGUAGGGAAACUUACGAUAAUACCGCAUACGACCUACGGGUGAAAGCAGGGGAUCGUCGGACCUUGCGCGAUUGAAUGAGCCGAUGUCGGAUUAGCUAGUUGGCGGGGGAAAGGCCCAGCAAGGCGACGAUACGUAGCUGGUCUGAGAGGAUGAUCGGCCACCCUGGAACUGGACCACGGUCCAGACUCCUACGGGAGGCAGCAGUGGGCAAUAUUGGACAAUGGUCGGAAGCCUGGUCCAGCCAUACCGCGUGGGUGACGGAGGCCUUCCGGUUGUAAAGCCCUUUUGUUGGGAAAGAACCGCAGCAGGUUGUUACCCCGCUGUUCUGACGGUACCCAAUGAAUAAGCACCGGCUAACUUCGUG
rnacentral:rRNA from 1 species